rnacentral:lncRNA from 1 species
GUGUUGUAAUAUCUUUCUUAACCCUUGUUGAUGUGUCUUUUGUGUAAUCUUUAUUUAACAUUCUAACCCAAAGUUUUUUUCCAGAGGUGAAAGAGAGUUAACAUUUUACCUAUAGUUAUAUACUUCAAGGCCAAAUUUGAGUCACUAGGAAAAACUAUUCGGAUUAUUUUAAUUCUUUAUUAUGAGCUUUCUGUUCUGUUCCUUUGAUCAUCUGUGUCAUAUCUUGAAGUCUUCCAAAGGCAAUUACUUCUUUGAAUUUUGGAUUCUACAGCUUGCCACUGACCAUUUUUUACAUUAUAUUUUUCUCAUAUGCAUUUAUUUCUGUUCGUACACAAUUGUAUGUACUGUGUUUGUUUAGAGACGGCUGCCUCAUGAAUUGGUACUGUGCUUUGGAUCCCUUCCUGUGUUUAUUGUAAGCAUACUGUCUCACUCAUGCUAUAUGUACUGAAUUUGACUUUUAUUUGCUGGGAAAAUGUCAAUAUC